rnacentral:lncRNA from 1 species
GCUUUGUAAUUUAUUUCAACUGCUUCAUUUUUAGAGCUGAAUGAGUGAAGAUGAAAGGAAAAAUCUGCAAAAGAAAAGUCAUAGGGAAGUUGUCAAGCAAAAAUGUUGAAAAAGAACAAAAACAUGUGAAGUGUUCAGGUAGAGAAGAAAGAAUGAAUGUGUGUUUUGACUUUUUUUAUUAAUGGCCUUAAACUUUUCUGGAAGCAUUUCAAAUAAAUUACAUUAAACCAUUUUGAUUUUUUUUGUUUGGUUGGUUUUGGAAGAAGACUACAAAAAGAUUCCAGUGCUACAUGCAGUGAGGCUUUAAUGUAAUUGACCAAAGCUUGUAUUUUGUUUCUGAUAAAGUGGUUUAUACUUGGAUCUACUUUGCUAAAUGCACAGUAGUAACAGAAACAAGUCACUACACUCAAUUCACCACAUUCCCCAUGGUUCUGUAUAGCAUAAUUAAUUUAGUAAGUAGGUGGAACAAAAAUGUACUGUCCUGUCAUCAGUUUCUCUCUCAUAAUUCCUGUGGGUCACAAUUAAUAAUUGUAAUUAUUAAUUUUGGGCUAUUCCAACCAGCCACGGAAUCUCAGAAGAUUAUUUUACAUUUGUUUAUUAUAAUUUAGCCACUCACUCACUGUUCAGCAUUCUGGAGUGUUUUGGUUGUGCUUUGUAGUUGACCUGCAUUUAGCUACUGAUUGAUCUAAUCCUAAUGAUGUUGGGUUUUUCUCUUCAAAUCAUCCUAAGGAUUAGGCUUUCCAGUUUAAGAAUACUGAUAUCAUGCUGGGUUUGGUAAGCUUGUUUUAGUUCUAGCACUUUUAAAAUGCCAGUGCUUUUGAAAGGAUGACUUUUGAUUGUGGCAGGAGGAUGGUGGUGGAGGGGUGGGCUUGGACAAUAAAAUGUACCAAAAAGUAUGGGUAGAAUGUAAAAUUAUGAAUGUGAAGAGGAAGAAUCAUAUACAUAAAUAUGUUCAUGUUGUCAGUAAUUGUGGUGUCCAGAGGGGAGUGUGAGGUUGCAGCAGUGAAGAGGCAAGAGGCAGUGAGUGACAAGCCUGAGGUGUCAGGUGCUUCCAGGAUCACCGUGAGGAGACGGCGAAAUGAGGAGAGGGAUGCAGACCCCUCUAAACCUGAGGCACGAGCACUCUGCAUCUCCCCCUCGGGGAAAAGGAUUUGCUCUGCAGCACUGAAAAGAACCAAAGCCAGGAUGACGACGGGAACACCAAGGUCUGUAAUGAGACUGCAGGUACUGUAAGUUUGAGAUCUGUGAAGCUCAGUGCCAAGAACAGUUGCUGGAAUCUGGGUAAGGAUAGGGCCAAAAUUGCAGGGUAUGUUAUAAAUGAGAAGCUUGACUAGGCCAAUAUUCAAGCAGCAAUCAGUUUAUUAAUUAAUAUGGUAAAGUAUGAGCAGUACAGCGCUGGGUACAGUGGGGGAAGUUUUCCCUCCAACUGCACACCAAUAGUUGAGGCUUACAGGUAUUUAUAGGGUUACUCAUCAGCUUUCUCAACAGAUUCUAUUCCAAAUUUUUACUCAUCAGCAGUUUCUAUUCCCCUUUUUUACGUCACGAUUCUAUACCUAUUGUGAUUUAUUUUUUCUCAGGAUGUAUCCCAGAAAGGAGUAUCCCCAGAUGGUGAGGUCUGGUUUCCAAAAGAAGGAAGAAGUUUCCCAUCUGGGAAUGUGUGUCCACCUUUUAAUUGCAAGGACUAUAAAUCUCAUAACAAUGAUGUCCAGCUUCCCUUGGUCGAAACUAUAAAUCCUUGAGUUGAUGUUCAUCUUCAUUUCUCAAGCUGCUUUUCACUUUGUUAAAGUGUGAGAUAACCACGUUUCCUUUUUAUAUAUUCUACAGCUAAAGUUUCAAAGAUUCUUACUACAAGCAAUAUUCUAAAAUUAUACUUCAAAAGGUUAUUAUUGCAAAACUCUAAGGCUUAACUACAAGCAGAAAGUUCCUGUCUAAAAACAAUUCAAAUACUCCUAAAUCAACUUAAGACUUAUAAAGGUUAAUUGCAAACAAAGCAUAGGUUCAAAGGCCUUCUUCCAUUAUUUACUUUCCUCAGUUAUUAUUAGAAUUUGUCUUCAUAACUGUCCCAUGGUUGGUUUCCACACAUUUUGCAAUCACAAAUACACAGGUUGCCUUGUAUGUACCUGACACAAAACACCGCUUUGUAUUUCACAGGUACAAAAAGUAUUUUUCCUGCUUAGCAUGACCCACCUGAACCAGGGCUUCUCCCUUUGGAAUGCUUCUGUGGCAGUGGGAACCAGGUUGCUUCAAGUUUCACAGAAUUUCCAGAAUUUGAAAGCUGUAUCAGAACUUUCAGACAGCAGAUUAAUGGAUUGCACUUUUUGAUAAAAAUGAGGUUUUAUGGUGACACUGCCUGGCACUUAGGCAAAUCUUGAUUCCCAGGAUCUAACAGAGUCUGAAACCAAGUUCCACACACAUGGAAGAUGAUUUGUUUCCUUUUAAAAGGGGAUUUCAGAUCCAGAAUGGGCAGCUCUUCUAUGUUUAAUGCUUAUUAAUGAAUGCUGAUUUUAAAAUAUGUGUUUUACAGGUUGGUGCUGCCAUCUCUUGGAAAUAAUGUAGUUUCACAGCUGAUUUGAUUACAGGAAAUUUUAAAUAUUUUAAGAUAUUACAUAUAUUAAUAAUAAAAUGAAAGUAUUACAAAAAUACA